AGAGAGUUCAAGAGUACGUGAAACCGUUUAGGGGUAAACCUGAGAAACCCGAAAGGUCGAAGGGAGAAAUUCAUUCGCGUCUCGAGGCAGGCGUCGGACGGGGUCGAGCGACGGAACGGGCGCGCGUUUUUCUUCGGAAUCGCGCGUUCGACUUCGCGCCCUCCGUCCGUUCGAACCGGCAGCGAACGCGUGCACUUUUCUCCUGGUAGGACGUCGCGAUCCGUCGGGCGUCGGUCUACGACUUGCGGCGGAGACCGUCCGUCGUUCUUCGGAACGUACGGCGCGGACCCGCUCGUUCCGGCCGACUCGCUCGACGGUACAAAUCGAGGUCUGGGGUCGCUGCUACUUUUAGUCUCGCGUUCGCGCGAGACGAAAAAGAGAGCGUUCGACUCGUCGCAAGCGCGUCACGUGCGUCGGCACGCGGACCCGGUGCCGCGUCCGAUCUCUGGCGACUGUUGGCGACGAUUAGUUCUCGAACAGACUUCCCUCUCGGGGGUGGGGGGAGAGAGGGGUCAAACUCUUUCUCUCUCUCUCUCUCGAAGACCGAUCGGCGACGCUAUAGCUUUGGGUACUUUCAGGACCCGUCUUG
rnacentral:rRNA from 1 species